rnacentral:rRNA from 1 species
GACGAACGCUGGCGGCGUGCUUAACACAUGCAAGUCGAACGGAAAGGCCCUGCUUUUGUGGGUUGCUCGAGUGGCGAACGGGUGAGUAACACGUGUGUAACCUGCCCUUGACUUUGUGAUAACUUCAGGAAACUGUGGCUAAUACCGGAUAGGAUCUCCUGCUGCAUGGUGUGGGUUGGAAAGUUUCGGCGGUUGGGGAUGGACUCGCGGCUUAUCAGCUUGUUGGUGGGGUAGUGGCUUACCAAGGCUUUGACGGGUAGCCGGCCUGUGAGGGUGACCGGCCACAUUGGGACUGAGAUACGGCCCAGACUCCUACGGGAGGCAGCAGUGGGGAAUAUUGCACAAUGGGCGGAAGCCUGAUGCAGCAAAGCCGCGUGCGGGAUGACGGCCUUCGGGUUGUAAACCGCUUUCGCCUGUGAAGAAGAGUGAGUGACGGUAAUGGGUAAAGAAGCACCGGCUAACUACGUG